UACGGGGGGAGCAAGCGUUGUUCGGAUUUACUGGGCGUAAAGGGCGCGUAGGCGGCCUCUGCAAGUCGACUGUGAAAUCUCCGGGCUUAACCCGGAAAGGUCAGCCGAUACUGCGGGGCUAGAGUGCAGAAGGGGCAACUGGAAUUCUCGGUGUAGCGGUGAAAUGCGUAGAUAUCGAGAGGAACACCUGCGGCGAAGGCGGGUUGCUGGGCUGACACUGACGCUGAGGCGCGAAAGCUAGGGGAGCGAACGGG
rnacentral:rRNA from 1 species